AAACUUUUAACAACGGAUCUCUUGGUUCUGGCAUCGAUGAAUAACGCAGCGAAAUGCGAUAAGUAAGGUGAAUUGCAGAAUUCAGUGAAUCAUCAAAUCUUUGAACGCACAUUGCGCCCCCAGGUAUUCCGGGGGGCAUGCCUGUUCGAGCGUCAUUU
rnacentral:rRNA from 1 species